CUGCGAGUUCGCGGGAGAGUAGGUUAUUGCCAGGGUUUUUAUUUUUAUGCCUUAAUUCUUGAUUUUAUUUUUAUGUUUUUUUAAAUAUUAGUGUUUUUGAAUGUGUUGUUUAAAUAACAUAAAAAAUAAAAUAUAUAUUGACAUGGAUUAAACAAAGAUAUAUAUUAUUUUAUGUUGUAUAAACAAAUUGGCAAAAUAGAGAUGGAAGAUAAAAAUAUGGUCAAAGUAAUAAGAGUCUAUGGUGAAUGCCUAGGA
rnacentral:misc_RNA from 1 species